rnacentral:tRNA from 1 species
GGGCGCGUAGCUCAAUGGUUAGAGCUAGCCGCUCAUAACGGCUUGGUUAUCGGUUCGAGUCCGGUCGCGCCUA